rnacentral:rRNA from 1 species
CCUACGUGAGGCAGCAGUGGGGAAUAUUGCACAAUGGGGGAAACCCUGAUGCAGCGACGCCGCGUGAGUGAAGAAGUAAUUCGUUAUGUAAAGCUCUAUCAGCAGGGAAGAAAAUGACGGUACCUGAGUAAGAAGCCCCGGCUAACUACGUGCCAGCAGCCGCGGUAAUACGUAGGGGGCAAGCGUUAUCCGGAUUUACUGGUUGUAAAGGGAGCGUAGACGGCAGUGCAAGUCUGGAGUGAAAGGCGGGGGCUCAACCCCCGGACUGCUCUGGAAACUGUACGGAUGGAGUGCAGGAGAGGUAAGUGGAAUUCCUGGUGUAGCGGUGAAAUGCGUAGAUAUUAGGAGGAACACCAGUGGCGAAGGCGGCUUACUGGACUGUAACUGACGUUGAGGCUCGAAAGCGUGGGGAGCAAACAGGAUUAGAUACCCCGGUAGUC